AACGUAGGAGGCGAGCGUUAUCCGGAUUCACUGGGCGUAAAGGGCAAGUAGGCGGUAGGCAAAGUUGGGCGUGACAAAUCUCGGCUUAACUGAGAGGGGUCGUUCAAAACUAGUCUACUGGAGGGCAGGAGAGGAAGGCGGAAUUCCGAGUGUAGCGGUGGAAUGCUCAGAUAUUCGGAAGAACACCAGUGGCGAAGGCGGCCUUCUGGCCUGCACCUGACGCUGAGAGGCGAAAGCUAGGGGAGCGAACGGGCUUAGAUACCCCGGUAGUCCUAGCUGUAAACGGUGGAUACUAGGUACUGGGUGCGAAUAUGUAUUCGGUGCCGAAGCUAACGCGUUAAGUAUCCCGCCUGGGGACUACGGCCGCAAGGUUAAA
rnacentral:rRNA from 1 species